UAUCUCAAUUCUCCCAACAAAUCUCAUUUUCUGCAAAAUAUUCUCAUCCAAAAUCAUACCGGAAAAACCACAAAUCUCCUUCAAUUUUCCCAUGUUUGUGCCCACUAAUCAUUUCCCAGAUUUGAAGCUUCAAGCCUGAAUUUUAGCUGUCUACAUUCACGGCCUUGUCCCUUUUUUGUCUGCUCUUGCAACCCUAAAACAAUGAAAGCAACAUUUGGUGGCUUUGUUGCAGAGGAAAAAGAGAACAGAAUGAGAGAAAACACAAGAAGCCAAACUAUGAGGUAAACAUCUGCGGAAAGAACAGAGCGAAAGGGUGUUUCCUCCUGUGCCCACAAUUUCAUGAAUCCUAUUAUCUGUUGCUCUCCGCUGUUGCUAUUUCUUUUUUUAUUUGGGUUGGUGUCGUUAAUUUUUGACGAUUUUGAUCGAAACUGAGGCAUGCCCAUGGAUGGAUGGUCGGUUCCGAGAAAUGGGUCUGUCUUGGAUUGUGGUGAAACGGGUGGGAGUUGUGAGACUGAUGGGAUUUGUGUUGACAUUGGUAAUAAUAAUUCUCUGAAUGGCACUGAUAAACUUCAGGUUUUAUUCGAUCAAGUUUUGUUGAUUUUCAUGAAGGAGGUUCUUGGGAAUGAGUGUGUUAGGCCUAUUCCGGCAAUGCUUGGCGAUGGGCGGUCUGUGGACUUGUUCAAACUUUUCUGGGUUGUGAGGGGGAAGGGGGGUUAUGAGUGGGUUUCUGAUAAAGGGUUGUGGGGUUUGGUGGCAGAGGAAUGUGGGUUGGAUGUUGGUGUUAAGACAUGCCUAAAAUUGAUUUACUUCAAGUAUUUGGAUCAGUUGGAUCAGUGGUUACUUGGGAUUUUACGGGAUGGGAGUUUGGAUAAGGGGGAGGGUGAAUGUGGUGGGAAGUUGGAUUCGGUGUUGGAGGAGUUGGGGACAGAAUUUAGAGGAUUGAUAUUGGGUGGGACGGGCCCAAAAGAGAAAGAUGAUGGAGUUUUCGAAUUAGAAUCUGAGAGAACUGACAACUGCGUUGAUUUGGACAAGGAGAAAAGUAUUUUGAAUCUGUCAAUAGUGCUUCGCAGGGCAGAAAAAAGUCCUAAUGAUGAUGAUGAGAAAAAUUGUGUUGAUGGUGGUGAUGAUGUUGCGAUCCAGGAUCCCAUUAUUGCCAAGAAAAGUUCUUUUUCUCGUAAGAGAAAAAGAGAAUCUUUUUCAGGAAUGCUGAAUUGGGUGAGAGAAAUUGCAAAACAUCCUGAAGAGCCUUAUAAGGGGAAUAAGAAUGGAAAUGAGGUUUUCUCAACCCAGAUUUUAAGGGUACGGGAGUCGCUUUUGAUAAGGAGGAAGGUCCACACAAAAGAAGAACAAUCUCUCCUGCAGAAGCAGAAGAUGCACCCCUCCAUGUAUGAGGAUAAUAUUGUUGUCAAUCACCAGUCUACAGAGAAGUCAAGGUGCAGUAGAAGGCUUUUUUCAGUGAAAUCUCACUUAUCUUCAUGUUCAGCUGCUCAAAGUAAAUUGCCAGGUCCUCACAGGACAAAGUCAGAGAGUUGCCCCAAAGAGCAAGCAUUGACCCCUAAUGAGCAAGAGCCUGAGAACACAAAUACUUUAGAUGACCUUUUUCCAGAUGAUCUCUUCCUAAAGCCCAUUCCUGUUGGCCCCAACUUUCAAGCUGAAGUACCCGAAUGGACUGGUGAGGUUACUGAGAGUGACUCCAAAUGGCUGGGCACACAGGUAUGGCCUUUGGAAAAUGGGGAAUGCAGUUUCCGUAUUGAAAAGGACUGUGUUGGGAGAGGAAAACCAGAUUCUUGUGACUGUCGGUUUUCAGGUUCUGUUGAAUGUGUCAGAUUUCAUAUUGCUGAGAAGAGGAUGAAAUUGAAGCUUGACCUGGGCUCAUUGUUCUAUCAUUGGAGAUUUGAUCGUAUGGGUGAAGAAAUUUCACUGGCAUGGACAACUGAAGAAGAAAAGAGGUUCAAGCAUAUGAUAAGGUUGAAUUCCUCAUUGCAGAGUCCAUCCUUUUGGGAUAAUGCAUUGAGAAUCUUUCCUACCAAGACAAGGGAGGCCUUGGUAAGCUAUUACUUCAACGUGUUCCUUAUCAGGCGCAGAAUUUAUCAGAACCGAGUGACUCCAAGAAAGAUUGACAGUGAUGAUGAUGAAUUAGAGUUUGGAUCUUUGGGUGGCAGUUUCGGGCAUGAAGUGAUUAAGGUUCCAUGGUCUGAAUUCCUGACAUGCACCCAGAAUGAGCAGUCUACUGAGUUGGAUUAAUGGAAGAAUGUGCAAUAGGAAUUGUUGUCUCUUCUCAGGGGUUUGAGUUACUGCUAGUUUUGCAUACUUGUCCUUUGCCAAAUUUUUUAUUCAUGAUUCAUUUUCUGCUUUUCCGGUACAAACUCAUUUUCUGACCCUGAAAUUUCAAUGAGUUAAGAUAAUCACUGUUAAGAGUGAUGCAAAUCUGAGGAAAAGUUGCAUCCAUGUUGCUGGACGCUGGACCUAUUGGGGUUCUUGAUGACCUCAAGGGUUGAGCACAGGGAAUGUGCUAAAAAAUUUUGUAUUGUUGUUAGUUUUAUACCUUUGGCUGUGGGAGUUUUGGUUAAGAAAGUUAAACUACAGAUUUGGAUGGCUUUAUUGUAAAUAUUGUCAUCAAAUACCGGAUAACAUUACCUAGGGAAUGUCCUUUUACUGGAUGAGGAGAGAGAGAAAUAGACAGACAGACAGACAGGUUGCUUUUUAGAGUUCAAUGGAAGCUUCUUUUUCAUUUAAGAUGUGCAUAUUGAAGUUUCUAUGGUUUUUGUUUCACAACUGCAAAGGUAAGUCACUGUAGACAAGGAAGUGUACUCUCAAGUCUUUCACAAUGUGAGUUCCCCAUUGCACUUUCCCCAUAAAAGAACUAAUAUCAAUGGAUUCUGAAUUUGCAUCAGUUGUAAAACAAUGUAUCUUUCACUUGGAAUUCAUUCCAUUUAUUUCCUUUAUUUGUACCCAAUUUAAGUUUUUUUUUCUUACUUUUGUGCUUCCAAAUGAAGCAAUGCAGAGAAACAUGCGCUAGGCCUCGUUGGUGGACAACUAAGCAUUUGAAAUAUAAUAUUUGUGAGAGAACUAUAUACAUGAUAAAGGAUGACUAAUGCUUAGGGCUGUUGUAACACGUCCUAAGGAAAAGAUAUCAUAACAUUUUUAUCUUGGACUGGGAUAACACUGUUCUUGCUCCACUUCUGCUGUGUACUCUUAUAUGAAUUUUCUUCGGACUUGCAACAUGGAGAUGCUCAAAGAUCUAUGUAGUCUUUUUUUUUUUUUUCAUGUGUUAUGUAUAUACUGGUUUUCUUUGCAUUUACAGCAUGAUAAGCUAAAAGUGUAGAGAGGUAAGCAUGUGGUCCAGGUAAGAUAUGCUGAUGAUGACAAGUAUCAUACACUAAUUCAUCAAUAACUAAAACUGUAUCAACAUAUGAGUAAGUGACGUCAAAUAGGCCUAUCAAAGAAAAAGGGACAUCAAGAUAUGUCAAAGAGGGAGAAGACCUCAGAGCUCUUAGUCUUGACUGUUGGGUUAUGCCUAGGAAAGUGGUGAAUCGAUUCAGAGUAUCUAAGUUAGAUUGGGUCCCUCCUAGGAGCAUAUGCAAUACAAUGACCAUUUCUUUUAGAGGUUUGGGGUACACGUAGAGAGAACUCUUUGGCCAAUUGAAGGCCUCACAUUGAUUUGGAUAGAAUGGAGGGAAAGAAAUGCAAGGAUUUUUUAGGAUAAGUGGAGAAAUUCAGAGAUGAUAUGAGAGCCAAUCUACUUUUAUUCCUCUUUUUGGGCCUCAACAACUUCAGCUUUCAAGGACACUCUCAAUGUUAUUUAGCUCUAUUGGAAUUUAGUGCGUAAUAAGGGGUUAAAAGAAGCAACAGAACCACAUUUCCUCUGUAUAGUUUUGGGUGGUAUAUAGGAGAUAUUGUAUUUAUCUGUUCUUUUGAUCAUAGUUUGUAUAUCAAGGAAGGAUUUUUCAUCCUUCACAUGCACUUCAAAAUCCUAAUCAAUGAUAUUUGUUUUCUGAUAAAAUAAAAAAAAAAGUCAGAGAGUGAUGAAAAGUGUGGGCAUCAUUGAGACAUAUACGAACUAUGUAGAAUCUUGAUGGCUGCAGGAACAUUGCUGUAAUUUUUUAAUGGGAUUACUUGACUUUUGCUAUUCAUUAUCAGCUGAAGAAGUUAUCAGACUUUAGUGACUCCAAAAAAUAUUGCUUCUGAUGAUGAUGGAUCUGAAUUUGGAUCCUAAUGUGGCAGUUUUAGGAAUGGAGCAGUCAAAGUUUCAGGGUCUGAACUCCUGAAAUGUGCCUGGAAUAAGCACUCUACUGAGUUGGAUUAGUGCAAGAUGUAGUACAGGAAUUGGUUUUUCUGCUGAGGAGUUUAAAUUAGUGCCAGUUUUGCAUUACUUAUCCAUUUAUGAAGUUUUUAUUACGAUUCUUUUUCUCCUUAUCUACCAGCAGAUCCUCAUUUAAUGCUCUGAAAAUUUGGAUGGCUUAAGAUAAUAACAGUCAGGAGUGGUGCAAUCUAAAGAGAAGUUGCACCCAUGUUGGUGGAAGCAGGACUUGAUUGGGUUCUUGAUGACCUCGGAGGUUGAGUUUUUGGAAUGUGUUGACAAAUUUUUAUCCUUGUCCUCUCAACUUAUUCUGUUAGAUUGCUGUUUCUCCAGUCAGUAUAUAAAGGUAAUUGAGUAUAGAAAGUCUCAAGUGUUUAGCAAUUUGAAGAACCUAAUGCACUUGCUUCAUUACAGAACUGUAAAGGUAGCAUCUGAACUUGUUUCAAUGGUGAAGAAAAUUGAUCCUUCUUUGCUUAAAAUUCAUUUGCAUUCAUUUCCACUAUGUGUGCCCAAUUUAAGCUCAAGUUAGUGGUGGACAAUUAAGCAUUUGCAUUAUAAUCUGUUGGGCAUGAUUUUGCGCAUAAGCUUUUUGGAUUAAAGUAGUGCCAUUACUAAUUUAUUAUUUCACUUUUUUUUUAUAGGUAAUUUAUUUCUUCACUUUUGAUGUAUGUACUCUUAUACUAAUCUGUGUAUGGAUAUAUUUUCUUAUUUUUUCUGAUUUAAUAUAUUUCUAUGAUCCCCUGAUUGCUCUCAUUAAUGUUCAUCUAUAUCUUUCUCAGCCAUACCCAAACUCAACCAAUCUCUGCCACACACAAAAACAAAAAGAAGAAAAAAUCAUCUCUCUUGCGUUACUAAUUUACGUCUGUUAAUUAUUCUUACAUGAUUUUCAAGUUUGUUCCCUAGUCUUCUGCAGUAAGGAUGGAAGCUUAUUUAUAGAUUGCUUAUGGUUGAUUCAGCUUUUGAACAAGAAGCUGAGUUAUUCCAGUUUAUUUGAUUGUGACAGGUUUUCACAUGGAGGUUUCUGAAGAGUGGAGCUACCGGAUGCUUAUACUUGUAAACCUCCAGCUUUGCCAAGAAGAUCUACCACCCAGAUGUUGAUCAUGCGAGUUACUAUAUGUUUAAAACCAGGAUACGAUGUUCUUCGUCCUCAUGCAGAGCAUAGUAAGUUAUCUUCUCAUUUUGUCAUUUGUGUUUUUCUAGGAUACGAUGAAGAUCAAAAAAGAUACCAUUGCUUUGAUCCGGUUAGCUAUGAAUUUUAUGUUUCUUGUCAUGUUUUCUUCCUUGAGCAUAUAUCUUUCUUUUUUAUUUUUGUUGAGUCUCAUAAUGUCUUUAAGUUUGAAUUUAUUCACAUUAAUCCUUUCUUGAAUGAUAUAGAUAGUUUUUUUUUUAUAGAUUCUAGUACUUUGGUUCUUGAUUGUCAUGUUCAUUCCUCUUCUUGAAUGACUAUUUCAACACCUUUUGAGACUAUGGAUCCUUCUUUCCCACAUUCUUUUUAGUGUUUUUGUAAGUUUACUCGAUUACUAGAUUUUGUUUACUACUCUUAUUAUAAUUCUCUUACAUCAUUUUUUAACUUCUAUUUACAAUUCUGAGCCUCUAUCAUAUAAAGAAGUUGUUCUUGAUCUUCUUUGGCAGCAAGCUAUGACUGCUGCCACAUGGAAAGAGUGUCAUUGGUUCUUGUUGGGUCUAUAAAAUCAAAACUAAGUUUGAUAGUUUGAUUGAGCAGUACAAAGCCCAAUUGCUUGCUAAGGAGUUUUCUCAAUAGUAUGGUAUAGAUUAUGAGAAGGCUUUUACUCAUGUUAUAAAGAUGACUACCAUUCAUAUUCUUAUUGCAAUUGCUUCUAUUCAUCAGUGACAUAUAUCUCAGUUAGAUAUUAAAAAUACCCUCUUGAAUGGUGAUCUUCAAGAAGAAGUCUACAUGGUCUCCCCUCUUGGUGUUUCUUAUAACCCUAGAGAAGUUUGUAGGCUCAAUAAAACUUUACACGUCUCAAACAAGCACCUUGUGCUUGGUUUGCAAAGUUCUUUGAUGCACUUACUUCUUUUGGCUUUCACCCCAGUCAUCAUGAUCUUGUACUCUUUCUACAGUGCACCACUACUGGUCAUAUUCUCCUUAUUCUAUUUGUUGAUGACAUGAUUAUUAUAGGUAAAAAAUGUUGAUGGGAUUAUAGUGUUGAAGUCAGACUUGGCUUCCCAUUUUGAAAUGAAGGAUUUAGGCUCUCUAUGAUGUUUUUUGGGUAUUAAGAUAACCUCUUGUUCUAAAGGUUAUCUUCUCUCACAAUCUAAGUACACAGUUGAUAUUCUUGAUCGUGCUUACCUUAUUGAUACUAAGACUAUUAAUACUCCUCUUAACAUUAAUGUUUGGUUAUCUUUUUUUGAUGGUAACCCCUUGCCAAACCUUACUUUAUAUCAUACUAUUAUUGGUAGCUUAGUUUAUCUCACCAUUGCGCGUUUGAACAUUGCUUAUGUUGUUUAUAUUAAUUAGUUUAUUGUUUAUGUUACUGCAGUUCAUUGGGUUGUUGUUCUUCAUAUUCUGUGGUAUCUCUGGGAAACUAUAUUUCAGAGUCUUUUAUUUCCAUUGUAGAUCCUCUAUUUUGUCCACUUAGCACAUUCCAUCCAGGACUACCUUCUUAUAUCCUUUGUUGCCCUAUCGCGCACUUAUGGUCAUUUUUUGAACUGUUUUUGAGCUCUUUUCGGUGUUCCACCGUGACUUUUCCGGUUACUACCUUUGGAUUUUCUUUGGAGAUACUUUGGGGGGACUUUCUAGAGAUCCUUAGUGUGAUGAUAAGUGACCUCUAGUUUUUUUUUUUUUUUUUUAGCUUAGGGCUUUGUUUGGAUUGACUCUGAUUGAUUUCUAGUGCAUUUAGGUUUAAGUUUGUUUUUCCAUUGCAUGGUUUUAGGAUUAGGUGAGUUUUGAUAUUUUGAUCUUGAUUUGCAUGAGAUUGACUUUUUCCAUGUUUAACUUCAUGUGACUAACAUUUUGAUUUUAGUUUCAUGAAUUUGAACUUUAAUUUUUGGUUGACAUAAGAUUAUUUUAUUUAUUUGUUUAUUUAUUUUAUAGUUCUUUUUAAUUUUGUAUUGCUGGUGCACUAACUUUAGUUUUGUCUUUUCCCUUGGUUUUUUUUCUUUUUUUUUUGCAUGUGAUCACUUUUUAAUGGAUGUAUGGAUUCUUUAUAAGGUCAUGAGUAGAAUAUGUGAACUUGGAGAUUAUUAAAAGGUCUUAGAUGAGCAUGGUGGAUUAAAAAUGUUUUCAACAUGUGAAGUCAUCACAUUAGAGAAGAGGAAUUUCUGCAUGAAUUUGUCCAGGAGAAGAUGAGUGGCAGAAGUGUGAGGGAAUGGAAAAUUCUAGAAGAUAGGAAGCAUGGAAAUCAUGUGAAAAUGAGCAGAGAAGAGGUAAGAGGGGUGUGCAUUUUGAAGGGGGUGAUGUGGCAGUUACAAGAUUCUGCAGACUAAUAAGUUAGAGAUGGGGAGAUCAUGUGGAGGAGAUUGGAAGGAAAAAAGGUUUCAGUUUCUAUCUUGGGAGAAUAGACCUUUUUGGGGGGACAUUUUGGUGGGAAAAGAAAUAAACAAAGAGAGGAGUUUUGUUUUUUGGAAGGAGAGCACUAUCUUGAUUUUUAGGUGGAAGAACACACCACCAACCUGCAGAAAAAAUAAUAAUAAUAAAAAUAAAAAAAUAAAAAAAUAAAUCACCAUGAUCAAUUUUGAGAGACUACAUCAGAUCAUGUUGCAGUGGAACGGGAGGCAAGUUGUGAGUAGCAUGAAGGAGGAGAAAAGAUUACCAAUCUUUGGAGGAACAGAAGAAGCAUGACAGGGGAAUGUUUUAGGAUUCUUAAGGAUUUCAUUUUCGGUUAGGGAGAGGAUAACAACCGAGCACUUUUCUUCUAGAGUUAGGGAAGAUAAAGAGGAUUUUGGAGUCUUCUUUCUAUUCACGAUCAUCAUAGACUAACUCGGAAGGUUUAGGGAUCCUCUCAUGGAGAUCAGUGUUCGUGAUCUUCAUCUCCAGGUCAACACUACAUCACAGCCAUUGACGACCUGCAAUACAUGCCAAUAGUCUCUUUCUCUUCAUCAGCACAUCACACGCAUAUAGUUCCGGUACCUUUGUCAGUUACGUUAUCAUCACGUCUCUAUGACUACAAUUAGAGCACUGGUUUCAUCACUUUGAAGAUAUCGUAGCUGCAUGGUGGAGUUUCACACCAGCAACUUGAAGAUAACAUCAGAUUCGAAGAAGUUUUAAAGGAUUUCAAAAGCAACACGCAGAAAAAAUGAGUACUAGGGUUGGUGGAGGAUUAAGCAUUUGUAUUUAUAUUAGGAUUUUCUUCAUCUGGGCUGGUCAGGGAGAGAGUGAUGGGUGCUAGUGGCGGAGGUGGUUAUCGUGGGUAUGCACCAUUUAUUUUGCUUUCUCCUUUUGGAGUUUCAUUUACUCGCAAGUUCAAACUCCUUUUCUAAGCUGUCAUGAGUCAUGAUGUUACCGGAACACAAAAGGCAAUUAUUUUCCUUAAUGCAGCAAAAACAAAUUAUUGGAAUUCGCCUAUUUUCAAUCUAAGAUGUUGAUUUUGGUUUGGCAGGAGUGUUUCCGCCUUUGAAUGUAAACGUCCACAUGGUAUGUUUUAAGGUACGAGAAAAAUGUGUAAUGGAAAUUGUAAAGAUUGUGCAAA